CCCAAACUAACCUUGAACUCCCUAGGUAGACAUAGCCAAGGACAAUCUUGGGCCUCUACCUCCCAAUUAGCUGUUUUUUUUUUUCUUUAAGACAGAGUCUCACUACGUGGCCCUGGCUGGCCUGGAACUCAGAGAUCUUCCUGCUUCUGCCUCCCUCUGCUGGGAUUAAGUGGGUCCCCUUUUGGGACCACCACUAUUUUUUUUUACAAAGUUUGCUUCGUUUGUCCUAGACAACCACUUUACCAAUGGAACCCGAGCCCUUUCUCCCUUUUUAAAAAAGAUAUAUUUAUUUUUAUUUUAUGUAUGUGUGUGAGUGCAUGUAUGAAACUAUGCACAUUGGAUCUCCUGGACCUGGAGUUACAGGUGAGUGUGAACCACCUGGUAAUGGGUGGUGGAAACUGAACACAGGCCCUCUGCAGGAGCAAUAAGUACUCUUAGUCACACGGUCACCUCUCCAGGUGAUUUCUCUCUUCCUUGAUAAGGUUUUGAUGUGUAGCCCUGGCAGGCCUUUAGUUAACACUCUGCCUCCUGUCUCCAGAGUGUUGAGAUUAUAGGCCUACACUACCAAAUCUGUAGUGUAUUUUUGUUGUUGUUGGUAGUGGUGGUGGUGUAGAUAAAUGUGUAGAUGAUGCACCCGUAUCUUCAUUAUUUCUUUGGAAGACAGUGGACACCCUCAGGGGUCCAGGCCUCAAGUAUCAUCUACCAUGUUGUACUUCUUCAUUUGGAUAAGUAUAUAUGUGAUAAAUGCCUUGGCAUGUAGGUAGAGGUCAGAGGACAACUUGCAGGAAUCUAGAGGAUCAAACUCAGGCUGUCAGACACGGCAGCAAGCACCCUUAUCCACGGAGCCAUUUUGUCACCCCAUCUUGUUUUUAGGGGCAUAGUUUCUCACCGGGCUUGGCGUGCACUAAAUCAGCUGGUCAGGGAUCACUGGUGACCCUCCUGCCUCUGCCUCCUCAGAACUAGGGUUACAAGGGCUCCUGUAACCAGCCGAGAGGAGAGGGGCAGGGGAGACUCCCAAGGGACCAGUUUCACACUGGAAAGACGAACUACAGGUGACACAACUCAGAGAUGCCGGUCUCUCUAUUGGCCUGACCUCAAUCUCUUACACAUGAUGGAGUUUGGGAAGCAUGCCAUCAAUCACACUGCAAAACUCAGGAGGGAAUUCUGCUGUGUCAACCCUUGGAAGCAGUUCCUUCUCCGUGUUUGCUCAAGGCAUCGAUUCCUUCAGGACUAUCAUGUAUAAUUGAUGGGGACCCACUUAUUUGUAUCUAGGUCUUGUCUUCCAGAUUAUUAAAGACUUGAAGGCAGGUAUUACUCAACUUUGAGUAUGGCACAGUGUCUCAAAUAUAAGUAAAUGCGUGUUUCGUAAAGGAAGAGAGUGGGAUAGGGAGAUGCCUCGGUCAGCAACUUGUCUUGAAAGCAUGAGGACCCGAGUUCAGUCUCCAGAACUCACAUAAAAAGCUGGCUACACAGGACCCUGAAUCCUGCCGUGGGCACCCCCUUCAUCCUCAUCUGGCCCCCAUCUCCAAAGCAUCCUUCAACCCUUGCAGGAAUCUUCACAUCCAUCUUCCAGUGUCCAGACCUUCUCCAUCUUUAAAGCCAAACACAUCUUCUUGUGUCCUUGCUGCUGGGAGAGAGGAAGUGGUGACUGAGGCCAUUCCAAGGUGUUUCAGCAAGUCUGGGAGGGGUUUUGUUGUUUGUCUCUUUUUAAGACAGUCUCAUGUGUGUAUAAAGUGAGGACAUGACCCCUCGAAGGCAUGGUUGAAAGGAAGGUCUUUACUGUGGAUAUGAGGGAGAGGACACCCCGAGGCAUCUGGAAGAGUCCAGAGCAGAGAGAGGAAGUAGACUGAACAUGGCCAUGAGAGGAGGCAGGAGUGGGAGGAAGAAGGAGGGGCAAGAGGGGCAGAGAGAGAAGAGCUGGGAUGCCAGCAUGGACUCUGUAACAGAUGUUUGCAAUGCUGAGCGAACCUGGAGGCCAGCAUGUGCAUUGGUAUGCUAAUAGGUACCACAGUUAGCCAUUUGUCUCGAGUUUCUUGUGGACCUGACAAUACAUAGCCCUGGCUGGCCUGGAAUUUGCUAUGUAGAUCCAGCUAGCCAUGACUCUGUCUUCUGAGUACUUGAACUUAAAGGCAUGUACUACCACAACAGGCUUCUUCAAAGGUUCUUAACACUGUCCAAUCAUGGACAUUUUCUCUCUGGGUCCUCAGAAUGCCCAAUUUGACGGACGUCAGUUAUCCCCCAUUUACCAGGGUCUGCUGAGCUCUGAUAUUCUGUGAGUUCAAAAGCUAGCAAAAGGAAGCUGAGCAGCCCCAUUGUUGCCGGGCUCUUUUCUGCUGAGCUAUUUGUUCCAAGUUCCAUUCUGCUCCCUCGGCUGGACAUUCCACCAGUGCUCAGCUCACAAGAAUGCAGCACACCCUGGCCAGACAGCCCGGCAGGAAACAGGGUGGCCUGGAUCCUUCUUUCUAACAUCUGUGAGGCGACUACCCCUGAGCAGUCUCCUUUUCCAACUGGCCUUAUGGGUCUCCUCUUGGGGGUGGAAGUGGGGAAGGUUGUCCAUAUAUUCUGCUGGGAUCAUCCCACUGGAGCAUGGUUGAACUACCAGGAGCCACACCCUUAAAGGAAAUUGACUCUUCUCCUGGAAGCCAUCAACUGUGCACAGCUCCUCAGUUAGGGGUGGGCUCAUGAAUCCCCUCCCCUCCAUGCUAAAUGUUGACCAGCUUGAUCAGCGGACUGUCAGAAUGCCAGGGUUGGGAUGGGCGACUGACUGAAUUCAUAGUCUUGGCUUAUUUUUUGUUUUUUGACCCUGUAGCCAGAAUGGUCUGGAACUCACUAUUAACCCAGUCUGGCCUCAAACUCACAGUUAUCCUACUGCCUCAGCUUCUUGUGGUCUGAAUGUUCAGAUCUGUAGGCAUGAGUCGCCACACCUAGUUCCUCACUGCUUUAAAUAAAAAGCUUAUUAGCAAACUA